CGAGAGGACCGGAGUGGACGCAUCACUGGUGUUCGGGUUGUCAUGCCAAUGGCACUGCCCGGUAGCUAAAUGCGGAAGAGAUAAGUGCUGAAAGCAUCUAAGCACGAAACUUGCCCCGAGAUGAGUUCUCCCUGAGACUUAGAGUCUCCUGAAGGAACGUUGAAGACGACGACGUUGAUAGGCCGGGUGUGUAAGCGCAGCGAUGCGUUGAGCUAACCGGUACUAAUGAACCGUGAGGCUUAACCUUACA
rnacentral:rRNA from 1 species